GAUGAACGCUAGCGGCAGGCUUAACACAUGCAAGUCGAGGGGCAGCGCGAUGUAGCAAUACAUUGGCGGCGACCGGCGCACGGGUGCGUAACACGUAUGGAACUUACCCUUUACUGGGAGAUAGCCCGGAGAAAUCCGGAUUAAUAUCCCAUAAUAAACGAAGUGGCAUCACUUUGUUUGAAAGCUCCGGCGGUAAAGGAUGGCCAUGCGCACGAUUAGCUAGUAGGUGAGGUAACGGCUCACCUAGGCUACGAUCGUUAGGGGGCCUGAGAGGGUUAUCCCCCACACUGGUACUGAGACACGGACCAGACUCCUACGGGAGGCAGCAGUGGGGAAUAUUGCGCAAUGGGCGAAAGCCUGACGCAGCCACGCCGCGUGAGCGAUGAAGGCCUUGGGUCGUAAGCUCUGUGGGGGAGAGAAAAGACCGGUGAAGAGCCGGACCUGACGGUAUCCCUUAGCAAGCACCGGCUAACUCCGUGCGAGCAGCCGCGGUAAUGUAG
rnacentral:rRNA from 1 species